GGCACACUUGAGCAAAAUUCAUUACCGAUAAUAAAACCUCUCUCAUUUUCUUCACUCUAUACUCUCCAACUUCAAGCUCUGUUUUUUCCUCUAUUUUCCCAUAAAAAUCCUUUUUCAAAACCCCCAUAUAAUUAGAAAAUGAAAUUGAAUCAGAAACAGCAGAGGCUUAAUCCUCCACCAAGAAGGGGACAAAUCAAGUUGAAAAUCGUAAAGUCUUUGAUUAAUUCUGCAGCUGAAUUGGUUAAUAUGGCCAGUGGAUCAAAAAACAAAAAGGGAAAUGGAAUUUCCUUAAUAUCCUCAAGUGGAAGAAAACCCCCAGGAGAAACUCCUAGCUGCUAUAAUUCUGGUGUUGAUUCUGAUGGAUCAUACAGAUGAUGGUGUGUUUUUGUAGUUUUAUGAAGUUGACAGAAAUUUUAUGUACAGAUUUAAACUUAGGGAAUUCCUGUUUCCCCUGCUUCAGCUUAUUAACUAUACCUUUAUUUAUUAUUGUAUUAAUCUCUUUCUUUCUCUUUUCCUUUUUAUUUCCUUUUCAAUUUCAGCGUGUUUAAUUUUGUAAUAAAUGAGCUUUUUUGUAAAAUAGACUCUUUGUUUUAUUAUUAUAAUUGAUAGUUGCCCAGUGUAAA
rnacentral:lncRNA from 1 species